UACGAAGGGGGCUAGCGUUGCUCGGAAUGACUGGGCGUAAAGGGCGCGUAGGCGGUUUUGACAGUCAGACGUGAAAUUCCUGGGCUCAACCUGGGGGCUGCGUUUGAUACGUCGGGACUGGAGUGCGGAAGAGGGUCGUGGAAUUCCCAGUGUAGAGGUGAAAUUCGUAGAGAUUGGGAAGAACACCGGUGGCGAAGGCGGCGACCUGGUCCGUGACUGACGAUGAGGCGCGAAAGAGUGGGGAGCAAACAGG
rnacentral:rRNA from 1 species